AGGAGACUAACCUCCCCCACCCUGUGGCCUUUGACCCUCUCGUCACUUCUUACCGAUAUAGCGGUUUCCACUUCUUCCCGUUUUUAUAUCUGGGAAUUGGGAUGACGGUUUCCUCGGGAUUCACUGUGAUCGCACGAGGGAUAUUCCCUUCUGCCUUGUGAAGCCUUGAAGGAAGGGGUGGUAUAUCCAGAAGAGUCAUAAAGCAACGAAAAUGUUAUUUUUGCAAAAACAGGUUUCAAUAUAUUUUGGUAAACUAGCGAGAACAUUUUUGCCGCUCGACAACAGAAGCGUCGGACGUAGGUAUUUUGCAUCCUUAAAGGAUUUUCCAAGGUGUGCCCAAGAGGAGAAGGAGGGAAGGGUAGGAUGAAGGUACCCGGGCGUGGAUGUUAUAAAUUGUCAUUCAACCCUUUGACCUGUUUCAACGUCUACGGUGGUGGUUGUGGAAAAAAUGCCGUUUUUCGAAAGUUCAUCAAAAAAUCUCUCUCCGAGUUCUCAACCCUUUAACCCCUUCGAAUAUAUAAGUAUAAUCUUUUUUCUUGGUCCCCGACGACCUCCUUUAUCCUCGGGAAGACCCCUUCGACUUCGUCCAUAGUUUUUCCCUCCUCUUACAAUUCUUAUACCCAAACACUUUUCUCAUUUACUGCUUUUACAGUUAAGUUGCGAGUUCCCUAUUGCUAUUCAAUAACUGUUCACUUUAGUAUAUAUAUCUCUCUCUCUGUUUUCUUCUCAAGAACCAAUCUGUCACGGUGACUCCUCUGCUUGAUGAACAAUGAAAAGUUUCUUUUCUAAGAAGGAAAAACUAUGGAAAUCUUCUUUUUUUUCUUCAUAUUUUACAUUAACCUUUUUUAAAUUCAAAUUGUGUAUUAACAGUGUCUUGUAUAUUUUUUUUACAGGUAAUCUAAUGUAAACGGGCAAAAAGGCUAAUUGGACAAGAUCAGAUAAACAAGAAAAAAGAAUGAAGAAAACCUCAAAUACUUCACGUCGCUUAUCUCUCUGCCGAGUCAAUCAACGGAAACGUGAUUUCUUAAUUAUAUGGCGAGUUUUGGAAAAAGGCGCACGAGCCAAAACCUUAAUAAACCCUUUCACUUUGAGCGAGAGUGGGGGAUGAGUCAUUACACUCGAGUCCAUCUAGUUCCCGUUGCUCGAGGGAAAAUAUGGAUUUUGAAAAUUAGCAAAACAGUUACUAAGCAUAUCGCGAUUAAUAUUAGUCAGAUAAAGUCAAGUGUACGAGCGCACUAAAAUUGUAUUAGUCAUAAAGAAAAAUGUUACUUUAGUCGUUUACCUUAAUUCAUCCCUGCGCAAUGGAAAGUAAGAAAAAUAUUUUUCGCUCGAAAUUUCGAGUCUGCCAACCCCUACGGAAAAAUACGAAAGGGAUACAGAAGGGGUUGAAGGCACAGCUGUUUAAACGCCACCCCCUUGACUGACGACCCCAGAUUUUCAAAAUUUACCAAACGACACUCAUGAUCCCUCAACACUCCCCAAAGGAAUUACCAGUGUGAAAUAUACUCUGUGUACUAAAGAAAACUGAAGCGCCACAGGGGUCGCCACCCCUGCCAAUCAUGACGAAUAAAUAAUAACGCCUUUGACAUACGUGCCCAUACACAUCGCAGUACUUUGACUCGUGCAGGGGUUCAAGAGGUCACGUAGCACAAUUGAAAAAAAAAAAAAGAAGGCUCGUGCUUUUCUAUAAAAAUGUUAAAUCUGGCAACGGUCAGAGGGUCUUCCGGACACGAGCGGAUCUAUUGAAAAUCGCGCAGCCACUGACGUGGGGCAAUUCGACGGCGCUGCGGCCGUUGUGGAUCCAGAAUGUAAAAUAUAGAAUACAGAAUGUCGAGGAUCUACAGGACGUUGCAGGCUGCACAGCACAAAUGGCGUCCCUUUCGGUCCUCUUCAGGACAAACAACUGACAGCUGACCCACGCUCGUGCGGGGUUGACCCAUACUUAUGGUUCAUCUGCUGACACCCACCCCUAUAUAUUCUGAGGAUAGCCUCCACGUAUCCCUCCUUACGUGUAUCCACAUAUCCUUAAGUAUAUAUAGGUAUAUUAAAUACAUAGGAGAGCUACUAGUUAACGCCAACUUCUAGAAGCAUCCCUUAUUCUUAUACUCAGUGUCUACACUGUACCAGUGUUACUACUGUACCUUAGUAGCCAUCGUAGAGGUUCCUCCUUCCUCCUUCACCCCUCGCUAUAUAUGGAAUGAGCUAGACCAUUUCCUCUUUGGGAUCCUCCACCAAAAUAUUCAUGGUAUUUUACCAGUGACCUCUGGGAUAUUUUUCAAGAUUCACUGAGAGAGUUUGUUGGGAGGUGAUUUGUACUGUAGUACAAAGGAUCAGGAUUUCACUCCAGGACCUGGACCUACUAUGGAGAUUGGAUAGCAAUUCCAGAUUUGAAGAAACGUGCAUGGGUAUCCUGACGUAGUACCCUUUUCGGUCCUUUUGAGGGAUCCAGGAAUAUAACCUCUAAGAGGGGUCGGGAAGAAGAGAAGAAAAAAAUAGAAAAAGGGAGAAAAAAUCGUUUUUCUCGAAUCCGCGGCAGCUGGUCAGUUCCGUAUGCCCAUCGUGUUCCGUUGACGGGCGUCUUUCUUUCUCGUAGACUCGUCGUAUCCUCCUUCUCUCUUGAUCCCUCUUUCGCGUCUUCCUGAAAAAUUCAGGGUUCGCGUAAUUCGACCGUUUGUCCGUAACGCAUAGGGUACCACAGAGUAUAUGGAGGUUUUAGCAGCGAUUCUCGAAGGAGGGUAGUUUUGGAUCGAGGGUAUUGAGAAGAGAGGGAGGUUAUUGGUCAGAAUCGGUCAGCAGCAGCAUCCAGCAACAACAACUAUAGCACUGGGAUUGGUUACGAGUGGCUCGUAACCUGAUAAAUAAGAAGCCCAGGGGUCACUGCAAUGAGAAGGGUCAGUUUCUGAACAAUGCCAAAUGUAUGGCCUUUGCACCCCAGGUUAAUAUGCGGCCAACUAAACAUUGGAUAUGGACAAUGCAAGAUUUAUAGUUGGACACAUACGCCGGCAUUGUUAAGCAGCACUGGACGCUCGUUGCACCCCUUGUAUGUGGAAUAUAACGUCGAUCGGUCAGACCUUUCCCAUUGGUCAACUUACAGUACUUAAGGAUUUUACAAAAUCGAAUGCGCCAUUUGCCAAACGUUACGCGAUUCUCAUUGUAGCGUGCGAAUUCUCUCGAUUUUCCCUGGGAAACGCGUUCUGACCCUUUGUCCUUUAUUAACGGCUCUAAUGAAAAUUUCCACCGGUCCUCUGGAUACUUUCUGCCACCGUAUAUUCUAUGGGUUAUGCGUGAGAGGCGUCUAUGUCACUUUUUCAAGAUUUACCAUUUUCAUAGAAAAUUCAAUAAUUUUCUCUCUUUAGCUCCUACCGAAUAUUUUUGAUUCUCUGGUCGAUACGUAUUUUUAUUUUUUAAUAUUUUGUGUAAGAUUUUUUUCGACUUUUUUAACAGAUAAGGGAUUCGCGUACGAUCGAGGGAAAAAAAGUUAGGUUAGGUAGUGUUCAAAAAUGUAACAAACGAAUCUUGUCAGAAUCGGAUUUUCUAGAACGGAACGAAUGCACUCUGUACGAUGAUCAUUUUCAUUUAUGGCUUUUUUUCCGUCCCUGUUUCGGCUCCUGAGGGGCACGUUAGCCCCUCAUGGGCGGAGCAUGGGGCUACUACCCUCGUGGCAGACCCCCCUCCAAUCCACCCUGCCACACGCGUUAAUUCUGGCCACUUUUCAAACGUACUCUGUUCAAUAGCUUUUUUUUUCUUUUCUUUCUUUAGCUUCCUUUCUUUUCCUCCCGUUUUCUGCUUUUUCACUACACGUCGAUACGACCCAAAAUGCGUGAGCUCGUGUCGCCACAUUUUUUUUCUCUCUGAACCCCUAGUACCCCGGUUCCCCCUCCUUGCCAGGAAAUGCUCUUUGUACCAAUGUAAAAGUAUCCCAACAAUAUUGAGUUCUUCCACCUUGUUCCCAAAAUCACAUGACAUCCGGAUUUUGUAAUACGAUUACAGGGUAUUUUUUUUAGCUACCCAAAGUACACUAAGGGCAAUCCGGGCAGGGGCCCCUGAUCGAUAUAGAUUUUUUUUGACAAAAAAUUGCUCUCAAGUGCAUUUUGACUUUUGGACUAUAAUAACAGAAAAUAUUCACUGCAAUCCUACCGUUGCUCUCAAAAACCGGAUGGAUCAGCUUCUUUUUAAGGACUUACUGCUAUUUCUUGCACAUCAUGGCAGGCGUGCUCAGGACUUGGUGGGUCGCGCACAAAUAGAAGUAACCAACAAAGACCCGUAGGAGCCAUUAGGAAUGCAUUUUAAUGCACUGCGCAAACGUACAAUGGAUCCCCGUAGGUAAAGAAGGGGAAGUGGAGAAAAAAAUCGUCCAUUGAAAAUCAAAUGCGAAUCCUGGAUACGUUUAACAGUCGAUCGAUCUGAACACGUCAUCGUCAAGCUGCUGCUCAACGAUACGAAAGCGUUUUCCGGUUAGCCACCCUUGAGGUGGUCGAAGACAAAAUUUUUUUAUUGAAAAAAAAAAAAUAUAUUUAAACCAAUAGGGAAUGAAAAUUGAUAGAGUCGCGUAUAGGCCUGACGCCAGUUAAGGGAUGAACGAAAGGGCUCGAGUGGCGCUCAAUCUUACACAAUAGAGAUCAACCUGUUGGGAAUUGAAAGGGGAGGUUUUUUUCUCUCUUUAAAUCGCUCCCAUUAGCCACGGGUGCGAGUCCUGUGAAGAAGGGUGGGUCGGCUGAACUUUUUUUUUAAUCGACAAAAAACUCCCCCUGCAUCGGAUCGCGAGCACAAGUGCAUCCUACCUGCGCGUGCUUCAAGUGCCGCUUGUAGGGGUUGUUUUUUUGGCCCACGGGGCUCCCCUUUCCUUUCACUCGUUUCUUUUUUUUUUCCAUGACGCAACGCGAUCUGCAGAUAGUCGAAAAUCACUGGCUUAAAUCACGAGGAUAACUACCCCUGUAUUUGUCGAGGGGUAACACUUGCCUGUUCUUUUUUUUUUCUAAAUUUUUUUACGUCACGACACGUGUAAACGAGACGAAGUGCACCCCUAAUCAAUAUUUUGAUAUAUCGGUACGAUCGAGUGGUAAUAAAAUUUAGGUUGGCAAAAUUUUUGACAAAUUUUACAUUCUUCGAGUAUCUGGGGUUUUUAUUUUUUUACCAGUAUUUUCAGUUAUUUUUUUGUUUUACCGUUAUACAGAAGAAGAAUGCAAUAUGAAUUUUGGAAUUUCUCGGAAAAAGUGAGAAUAAAAAAUUUGUACCGGAUAAUCCCGAUAUCUUAGGAUGUUAAAAAAAAUUGUAAAAAAAAAAAACAGAGACACCCCGUAAUAUGAAGGUAUUGUGCGUCGUAAAAGCAAUGGCUGCCUGAUGAGCGUUUUUCUCUAAGGAUAAGAUUUUCUUAAGAAAACUUUUUUAUGUACCGCGAUUCUGGUAUCCGAAAGACCACGGGUACCCUGAAAGGGCUAAAGGAUUAGAGACGUAAUCUGGUGUUUCGAAGUUUUACAAUAGUUAAAAAACGUCCGUACCUCUGGCAUGCUUCCGCUUACGGCGAAGGAAAGGGUUGAAAAGGGUUAAGCCAAUUGAGGUAGGGAACGGACGCAUCAGGUCCCAACUUAAUCUCUUGGUUUUUGCGGAGUCGCUACUUCUUGGCCGAGACCCCUUUUUUCGCGCGAGUACAGGAAAUUAGUGACAGUAACCUUCUUUUUUUUUCCAACCCUUUUCCCGCACCCAGCCACCCUCGACUCGGUACUUUCACCAUUUUACAGCCGAGCUGCUGGCUGGAAAAGUAGGUUAAAAAAUAUCAGAAGAACUGCCAUUACCAAGGGAUUUUUGAAAGUCCGUAGUCGAGGAAAAAAUUUCCAAAAUGAAAAAAAAAAAGAUACGGGAGACUUUCUUCUGCACACGGAUUUCCAACUUUCGCAUUUUGAGAAAUCGUAAAACGAAGCUUCCACGUCGUCCAUUGUCAUGGAUGGCGGACCAGAGGAUGAUCCCUGGAGGGUCCAUAAAAACUGCCCAAACUCGUGAAAGAUCCUUUUUUGAGAAUAUAGAAAAAGAGAACUAGACCUCUUGCAAGAGCAUUAAAAAAACAUAGAUUUUACGGAUUUCCUAUACCGCUCGCGAGUGCGAGAGAGACAGACUUAUGGGCAUCGAAACGUAUCAGAGAGAGAGGCGAACAGUGCAAACAAGAAUCGAAAAAUUUCAGUUUCACAAUGUUAUUCUCCCAAUUUAUAAUACCAGCCACGUGAGAUAUACGGGGGAUAGGAAAAAGUUUUCGAAAAAUCGAAACUCUCGUCUCGUCAAGUUUCCCCUUCCGAGAGAGAGAGACAGAGAGAGACAGAUAAAUAGAGAGAAAAAGCAACGAGAAAAAAAAGACGACGUCGACAACGGCGAGCCGUAUUUUUCGGGCGUUUCCGUAAAAAUCCUCAUGGGGGAUAUGGGGGAGUUUGGGCAAGAGGGUGGAUUCAUCCCCCGAUGGACCCCAGCCGGCUCGUUCACUCACCCCAGAAGCCAGACCUUGCCAAAAUCACGAGUCCACCCCUCUCCGACACUCUUUUCUACCAUUUCUCUAUGAAACAGUCAUGGCCGCUAUAGAAUUACUGCAAUUGAACUACGUGACUCGACUGAAGCAGCGCUGUCGUUUUCAAAAAAUAGAAAGUCACUUCCAUGAUAACGAAAUUUUUUGAACUCAAUAUUGUAAUAUGUCAAUAUUUUCGUAUCCUGAGGGCUGAUCGACAAAAAGUACAUUCGACGACGAAUCAUUUCGAAAUGACUUAUCGAGCGUGGUAAAAUAAAAAACAACGGCAGAGACUUUCUACGUUAAUACAUAGGAAAGUCCAUUACUAAUAUAUAUACAUAUAGUAUCGUGAAUUCAUCACAUAACACUUGAAUAGAAAAUAAAACAGAAAUAAAGAA